AUUGAACGCUGGCGGCAUGGCUAAAACAUGCAAGUCGAACGUACCCGCAAGGGUAAGUGGCGAAAGGGUCAGUAAUACGAUCGAAUGUACCCCGAGGUAGGGGAUAGCGCUGGGAAACUGGCGGUAAUACCCUAUGAGCUCGAAAGAGGAAAGAUUUUUCGCCUUGGGAGCAGCGAUCGUCCUAUCAGGUAGUUGGCGGGGUAACGGCCCACCAAGCCGAAGACGGGUAGCGGGUGUGAGAGCACGGCCCGCGACAUCGGGACUGAGACACUGCCCGGACUCCUACGGGAGGCUGCAGUAACGAAUCUUCCGCAAUGGGCGAAAGCCUGACGGAGCAAUGCCGCGUGCGGGAUGAAGCGCCUACGGCGUGUAAACCGCUGUCAGGGACGGAACCAAUGAUGUCCCAGAGGAAGAGCCGGCUAACCCUGU
rnacentral:rRNA from 1 species